rnacentral:tRNA from 1 species
AGAUCGGAGGCCAAAAUCCUCCUUAGUGCCA